CAAGACUUUUUUGUUGGUUGGUUUUGCUUCCUCGAAUAACUUUUCUACUUGGUGGAUAUUUGGAAAAUCUGCUUUCCUCAUGACACUAAGAGAUUCCCAUUCAGUGGACUGAAAGUCAUGUCGUAUAACCGGACUCUCUUCCUCGCCAACUGAACAUGAGUCAAAGAAUGAGCUCCAAAAUGCUGAAAGUGCAUCCAGAAAAACACCAUUUGUGUCUACAGCAUGCUCUUCAUUUCCAAAACUAUUGACCAUAUCCACUGACACGGGCUCUUUCAUUAUCAUGUGAUCUUUAAAUUUUUUUAUCAUAUCAGUCAUUAAAUAUGCUCUUCUUAUCCUCAAAACUCUGACAAAUUAAAUGAGAUUUAAUUUAAAAUGGAUCUUCCAUCAACAGCUUAACAAUUGAACAGAAAGAAGAUUAAUCAAGCAGUGUAGCCAGGUAUUGUAAAAGGUCCCAGUGGAAUUAACUUGUUGUAAUGUCUAAUUUAGAUUGAAUUUCAAGCAAAUUUUCCUCGCUAGUCAUGGUAUUGAUUGAGUAUUAAUGUGCUACCUUCCUUAGUUUUCAUUAGGUGAAACCAAAAAGUUAAUAACUCUACUAAAACUGCUCCAAAUGGCUUGAAACUUCAUAGGAGUUUAAAUUUAAAAAAGACAUUUUAAAGUAGUUAUUUGCUUGAAUUUCAUUUAAUUUAAUUGAUUUUCAGAAAAUUGGACAUUUCACCUAUAUAUUUCAUGUCUGUCUGUCAAGCUAUCGCUUUGGAAAUGAAAGAUUUUCUGUCUUAAUAACUUGUUAAUCUGCUAUACUAAUAGAUAAUUAUAGAUGUUGACUUAUUGAAACA